rnacentral:rRNA from 1 species
CCUACGGGAGGUAGCAGUGGGGAAUAUUGGGCAAUGGGCGCAAGCCUGACCCAGCAACGCCGCGUGAAGGAAGAAGGCUUUCGGGUUGUAAACUUCUUUUGACAGGGAAGAGCAGAAGACGGUACCUGUCGAAUAAGCCACGGCUAACUACGUGCCAGCAGCCGCGGUAAUAGGUAGGUGGCAAGCGUUGUCCGGAUUUACUGGGGGUAAAGGGCGUGUAGCCGGGCUGACAAGUCAGAUGUGAAAUCCGGGGGCUCAACCCCCGAACUGCAUUUGAAACGGUUGGUCUUGAGUAUCGGGGAGGCAGGCGGAAUUCCUGGUGUGGCGGUGAAAUGGGUAGAUAGUGGGAGGAACACCAGUGGCGAGGGCGGCCUGCGGGACGAAAACUGACGGUGAGGCGCAAAAGCGGGGGAGCAAACAGGAUUAGAUACCCUGGUAGUC